UAGGGAAUCUUCCACAAUGGACGCAAGUCUGAUGGAGCAACGCCGCGUGAGUGAAGAAGGCUUUCGGGUCGUAAAACUCUGUUAUUGAAGAAGAACGUGCGUGACAGUAACUGGUCAUGCAGUGACGGUAUUCAAUCAGAAAGUCACGGCUAACUACGUGCCAGCAGCCGCGGUAAUACGUAGGUGGCAAGCGUUGUCCGGAUUUAUUGGGCGUAAAGCGAGUGCAGGCGGUCUUUUAAGUCUGAUGUGAAAGCCUUCGGCUUAACCGAAGAAGGGCAUCGGAAACUGGGAGACUUGAGUGCAG
rnacentral:rRNA from 1 species